rnacentral:rRNA from 1 species
GUGAGGAAUAUUGGUCAAUGGACGUAAGUCUGAACCAGCCAAGUCGCGUGAGGGAUGACUGCCCUAUGGGUUGUAAACCUCUUUUAUAAGGGAAGAAUAAGUUCUACGAGUAGAAUGAUGACAGUACCAUACGAAUAAGCAUCGGCUAACUCCGUGCCAGCAGCCGCGGUAAUACGGAGGAUGCGAGCGUUAUCCGGAUUUAUUGGGUUUAAAGGGUGCGUAGGCGGCAUUAUAAGUUAGUGGUUAAAUAUUUGAGCUAAACCUCACUUGUGCCAUUAAUACUGGUAAACUGGAGUACAGACGAGGUAGGCGGAAUAAGUUAAGUAGCGGUGAAAUGCAUAGAUAUAACUUAGAACACCGAUAGCGAAGGCAGCUUACCAGACUGUAACUGACGCUGAUGCACGAGAGCAUGGGUAGCGAACAGGAUUAGAUACCCUGGUAGUCC